rnacentral:rRNA from 1 species
AUUGAACGCUGGCGGCAUGCCUUACACAUGCAAGUCGAGCGGCAGCGGGAAAGUAGCUUGCUACUUUUGCCGGCGAGCGGCGGACGGGUGAGUAAUGCCUGGGAAAUUGCCCAGUCGAGGGGGAUAACAGUUGGAAACGACUGCUAAUACCGCAUACGCCCUACGGGGGAAAGCAGGGGACCUUCGGGCCUUGCGCGAUUGGAUAUGCCCAGGUGGGAUUAGCUAGUUGGUGAGGUAAUGGCACACCAAGGCGACGAUCCCUAGCUGGUCUGAGAGGAUGAACAGCCACACUGGAACUGAGACACGGUCCAGACUCCUACGGGAGGCAGCAGUGGGGAAUAUUGCACAAUGGGGGAAACCCUGAUGCAGCCAUGCCGCGUGUGUGAAGAAGGCCUUCGGGUUGUAAAGCACUUUCAGCGAGGAGGAAAGGUCAGUAGCUAAUAUCUGCUGGCUGUGACGUUACUCGCAGAAGAAGCACCGGCUAACUCCGUGCCAGCCGCCGCCGUAAUAC